CCAGACUCCUACGGGAGGCAGCAGUGGGGAAUAUUGCACAAUGGGGGAAACCCUGAUGCAGCGACGCCGCGUGAGUGAAGAAGUAUUUCGGUAUGUAAAGCUCUAUCAGCAGGAAAGAAAAUGACGGUACCUGACUAAGAAGCCCCGGCUAACUACGUGCCAGCAGCCGCGGUAAUACGUAGGGGGCAAGCGUUAUCCGGAUUUACUGGGUGUAAAGGGAGCGUAGACGGUGAAGCAAGUCUGAAGUGAAAGGCGGGGGCUCAACCCCCGGACUGCUUUGGAAACUGUUUGACUGGAGUGUAGGAGAGGUAAGUGGAAUUCCUAGUGUAGCGGUGAAAUGCGUAGAUAUUAGGAGGAACACCAGUGGCGAAGGCGGCUUGCUGGACAGAGACUGACGUUGAGGCUCGAAAGCGUGGGGAGCAAACAGGAUUAGAUACCCCAGUA
rnacentral:rRNA from 1 species